GGGCGCUUAGCUCAGCUGGUUCAGAGCAUCUGCCUUACAAGCAGAGGGGCGGGGGUUCGAAUCCCUCAGCGCCCA
rnacentral:tRNA from 1 species